CAAAGAUGCCGGCUCAGCCUGAGGACGCCCAGCUCCCAGGGCAGUGGCAGGUCCCAGACGGAAGAGCAGUGGGGAGAUGAAAAGCUGGGAUGCAUGGAUGGAUGGGUGGAUGGCGGCCGAGGCAAGGACUUGGCAAAGGAAAAUGCUUCCCUGCACACCUGCAGCACCAUAGACUGGAGAAAGCUGUUAACCAUGGAUGAAUGACCCAGAGUCCUGACCCCUAGAGGAACCACCAGGACCCAAGUACAGAGAAACAUUGACUGAAAGUCAACAGGACGCUGGUGGAGCCCAGCCUCUUGGACUUUUCUCUGUUUAAUCUCUUCCUCGCCCCAGUCCUGCUCUUCCUCAUGCCUCACCACCCCAAAUCUUCCCCAUCCGACCCCAGACCUCCCAAUCCCAACCCCUCUAUUCCCCCUUUCCUUCUCACCUUCCUCUCUCCUAUCCCUUUCUACCUCUGUACCCCACAUUUACUGUGAAAUAAAUCUCUGCUGUUGAUUUUGA